rnacentral:lncRNA from 1 species
GCGCAACUCAGACCACUGGAGGUGAGUUGUACCUGGAGUUUCUGUAACGUCCUCUCCCCUUUUUUUUUUUUUUAAAGCCAGAGCCUCUGUCGCCCAGGCUGCAGUACAGUGGCGUAAUCUCAGCUCACUGCAACCUCUGCCUCCUGGGAUCAAGCGAUUCUCCUCCCUCAGCCUCCCGAGUAGCUGGGAUUACAGGAUGGUGCUAGCAUAUAUAAGACUGAAACACCAAAGUCCUCCGUGGAAGUUAAUGAAUUUCUGGUUAUGAGUUGGAUUCUUCAGCGGAGUAUUUGAGCCAUGCCUUGAGGCACAUACUUCAAGUUGCUGCAUCCAGUUUUAAACUCCAGAUUGAGCUUUACAUAUUAAAUGUGCACAUUUGUUUUCACAUUUUUGAGCUUUGCCAGUGGCACCCUCUCUAAUUAAUCAUCCCGCAGGCUUAGAAAACUU